CUACUUCUGUGGACGAUAAAGCUGUCGCACGUGCAGUCGAGAGCUCAAUUUAUUUUCAAGAUGAGAGGGUUCACACUGCUCUGUUUGGUGGGAUAUAUUCUUAUAGCUGCAGAUGCACAAUGUUGGAAGCUCCCAGGUGGUUGCGGCCCAAUGGGAAAUUCUGAGGUGUUACAAACGUGGCCCCCUGGUACUACAGGUCCAAUGUCAAAUAAGGAUGGGUUUAACACAACAACCAAGUCAUCAGUGGCACCAGCAGAAAGUGGUGGACACAACGAGACAAACCAUUGGAAUGGUACCACACAACCAAUUGAAAAUAACUACGGUUUCCCACCACCACCAGCUGAUGGAGAGAAAACUAAGGUGCCUAAAGAAGACACAGUGCCAAGAACAACGAAGAAACCAAAAACUGGAGUCCAUUGGCACCCCUUGAGUAAUAAACAUGCUUCACCAGGGGAUGCCACCAAGAAUAUUGAAGUCCACUGGCACCCCUUGGGUAACGAACAUGAUUUUCCACCUGCACAUAGUGAUGGAGAUGCAACCAAGGACAGUGGAGGCUUUUGGCACCCAAUGAGCAAUGUAGAUGAUUUUCCACCUGCACCUACUGAUGGAGAUGCGACCAAGGGGAAGGAAAGCUGA
rnacentral:lncRNA from 1 species